CGAGAUAAGAAUGGUCUGGGCAAAAUAUUGCUCUAUCAUAUACUCCAGAUAAUUAAUUAUGUUCAUGAUGAUGUUCACAUAUAUGUGUGUAUAUCAACUACUAGAGAUCCAAGGCAUGACUGGUACGGGUUAAAAGAAAAUGAAGAUUAUCCAUUUUAUGGUGUUCCAGAUAUUAUAGUCAUGGAUGUGGAUUUCAAUGUCAUUGCGAUUGGUGAAGUAUCACACGACAAGCCUGAUGAUGGAUUUAUCAGUUGCUUGGGGCAAUGUUACGGGUUUAUCUGGAAACUGGGCUCCUGCCAUGUGGAAUUUUAUCAGCCAAAAAUUCAAUUUCAUUUAUUUCACAUGCUUAUCAUCAGUGGCAUAAGUACAGCUGCUCUCUAAAAAGCUUUGGAGGGAUUAUGUCUAUACUAGAGAUGCUUAUUAACACUGUAGUUCAUAGAAGGUUUGGAAAACCUUCGAAAGCACCAGAAGUACAACCAGAUGAUGCUGUAUUGAUUGCAAUUGGGAAGUUAAGGAAGUACAUGAGCUACCCAAGAGAGUAGCAGAAGCCAUUGCAACUAAGCCAAAUCAGAAAUGCAACAUUGAUGGUCUGUGAAAUAUAUGAGAACCUUAUGACAUUAAUCCUAUUUGACAUGAUGAUAACUUUUUAAU